GACGAACGCUGGCGGCGUGCCUAAUACAUGCAAGUCGAGCGGACUUGUGGGAGCUUGCUCCCGCAGGUUAGCGGCGGACGGGUGAGUAACACGUGGGCAACCUGCCUGUAAGACUGGGAUAACUUCGGGAAACCGGAGCUAAUACCGGAUAACUCCUUUCCUCACCUGGGGAGAGGUUGAAAGAUGGCUUCGGCUAUCACUUACAGAUGGGCCCGCGGCGCAUUAGCUAGUUGGUGAGGUAACGGCUCACCAAGGCGACGAUGCGUAGCCGACCUGAGAGGGUGAUCGGCCACACUGGGACUGAGACACGGCCCAGACUCCUACGGGUGGCUG
rnacentral:rRNA from 1 species